UACGAAGGGGGCUAGCGUUGCUCGGAAUCACUGGGCGUAAAGCGCACGUAGGCGGAUUUUUAAGUCAGGGGUGAAAUCCUGGAGCUCAACUCCAGAACUGCCUUUGAUACUGGGAAUCUCGAGUCCGGAAGAGGUGAGUGGAACUGCGAGUGUAGAGGUGAAAUUCGUAGAUAUUCGCAAGAACACCAGUGGCGAAGGCAAUCCCCUGGGCCUGCACUGACGCUCAUGCACGAAAGCGUGGGGAGCAAACAGG
rnacentral:rRNA from 1 species